AGCUCCAAUAGCGUAUAUUAAAGUUGUUGCGGUUAAAAAGCUCGUAGUUGGAUCUGCGGACGUGGAGGACGGUCGCCUAAUCGGUGUACUGUCUUCCUGUCCUAUACUGUCUAGUUUUCCUUAGGUGCGCUUCACUGUGUGUCUAAGGUAGCUAGAAAGUUUACUUUGAAAAAAUUAGAGUGCUCAAAGCAGGCUUUUACGCCUGAAUAGUGGUGCAUGGAAUAAUGGAAUAGGACCUCGGGUCUAUUUUGUUGGUUUUCGGAGCAUGAGGUAAUGAUUAAGAGGGACAGACGGGGGCAUUCAUAUUGCGGCGUUAGAGGUGAAAUUCUUGGAUCGUCGCAAGAUGAACUACUGCGAAAGCAUUUGCCAAGAAUGUUUUCA
rnacentral:rRNA from 1 species